rnacentral:lncRNA from 1 species
UGAGUGUGAGUGUGUCUCUGUGUGUGUAGGGGUCGAGGUGGGGGGGGUCCGUGUUUGCGAUCUGAACCUUUGGUACCUACAAGGAGGGUGUCUCACCGAACGGUAGCUAAAACCUCACCAGAACCGCGCGGAAGUGAGAAGUCGCGGCCAAAGGCGCCCGCAGAAGCCUCCUCUCUGGGCCGGACCCCAGCCCGAGCGGCCGAAAGGAGCCCCCCGCCCGGAUCACAGCUGCUGCAGCUGCCGCUGAAAUUCGCUGUGGCCGCUGCCUCUUCCCGCUUUAAUCCCAGACCUCCAGUCAUUGGGCAGCUCCUCAGAGGCAAGAAGUCAACACCAUGGCAACCCGACAAGCCUAUCAAAUCACCGGCUGGCGUGACAGCAGCAACACUGCAGGCAGGAGUGGGCUGGGCGGAAGAGCAGAGUGGCCACUGCGCUCAGAAGUUUACAAGGAAAGGGGAAAUGUCUGAAAUGGAGAUUGCACAAUCCUGUCUUGAAGCAGAAGACUCAGCUAGAGCACAUCUGGAAACACCUGGCACUCCUCAAUAGAAUUCAAAUGCUAUUUUAAAAUAGAUGUAAAAUCUGAGCUGCAACACUGAACAAAAGCUGUACUUGCCAGCCAGCAAAGAUGCUACCACUCUGCACAACAGAUAAAACCCAUACAUAUAGGGAAGUCAAAAGAGUCUUUAAGCUACAGUGUUUGAGAGGCUGUUUGUCUCUGAUGGAAAAUUAAGAAAAUCCUCAUCUUCAAUUACAAUGUGGUUCCUACAAAGUAAAGGGCUGUUGUCCUCUCUUCAGACCUGUGCUGCUUCUGCGCACUAGCCCUGUAGACCAUCAAGGCCUAAAAAUAGCUGCUAGAUUCAAUGAGACAUGAAGCUGACAGAAAUGGCAUCAAGCUAAUUGGCAACAAACUCUAUGAAACCUACUCAGGAAAUCAUAUUUUUAAGCUGAACACCAAGUGGAUUCUUGUUUGAAGAGUCCAUUUCUAAGAAGAUGUGGUUCGAACAUACAGAGCUACAUAAUAUGAGUAAAAUAGGACCUAACAGUAGUGUUCUCCAGCAUUGCUCUGCCUUUCCUUUUCUGGAUGUAACAACAUUACUAAGAAAGGAAGAAAAAGCAAAAAUCUGCUCUCGGGGAGAUUCCAGAAUGUUGGAAAGCCCCAAAUGGAAGUCUCUGCUUUGGUUACAGGACAUAAGGUUUAAUAAAUAAAAAGAUGCUCAUCUGGGAUGCUGCACCAAUUAUCAUGUACUAAAUAAGGUUACCUACUUCACUCUCCAGGUAGAAAUGUCUAUCAUAAGCAUGUGCCACAGAAGGUCUCUCAAGUAUCAUUAUUGGCUGUGUUGAAUUUUGUUUUUAGUUCUCUUUUAUAAGGUCUGUAGUCUUACUUUCAGUGAGGAAGUGUUUUCUCAGGUUCUCAAGAAAGUAACAAAAUGCCAGCAUUGUCAAGGUCACCAUUGCCACUGAAUUAUCUUACUGUCUGAUUAUUCCAUCUUCCUCUGCAUCAUAUUAGCCUGAUGACUACAUUCUAAUUAUUUAAAGCGUUAUGUAAAUCAAAGCAGUAAAUGUAAUUUCUAGUCUUACUAGAUAUCAUGUACAUUAGGUCGAAUAACUCUAGAAAUGUCGUCAUAAUCAUGUCAUGCCUAAUGAUGACCUACUCAGCCCCUGCCAACAUCAUUCAAUUACUCAUUUCAGUAUUGAUUUUUCUCAUGCCUCUCUUCGUGGCAUUUAAACAGCCCUCACAUCUCCCCUUUUACUGAGGUGUAAUGUUGUAUAAUGACAGAGAUGCUUUGCUUCCCAGAUUCAUAAUGUUACACUCUGUUUCAAAUCCUUUUGGAGACAAAUUGGGGAAUCAAUAUAUAAAUAAUGACACACUUAUUUUUAAUUAAAAUCACUGCUUUCACAGAAAUGGUAUAUUAAAAUUAUUUUUGCUAAAAAAAUUUUAAAUACCUAUGUACGAUAAAAAGACUGCCAAUCCUUGGGAUCAAGAAUAUAAUUUGCCCCAAAUAACUUUUCUGUAAAAGUAGAAUUCUUAAUGGAAAAUAGAUUAAUACAUAUAAUUUCAAGAUCUAACCUUAAAAAUGGAAAUAAUGUGUCCAUUUUUAAAAAUAAAUCAUAUUUACAUGGUGUGUUGCUGGCAAUAUGUGGCCCCAGGGGAGAGGCAAAAGUGGAGGUUCCCGAGUCAUCUGAGAUUUGUUGCCUCGGAACAGGAUCCACAGCUCAAUAAUGGUCACUGUACUGUCAUUGUUUAUUUGAAAUC